rnacentral:rRNA from 1 species
CCUACGGGAGGCAGCAGUGAGGAAUAUUGGUCAAUGGCCGGAAGGCUGAACCAGCCAUGCCGCGUGAAGGUCAGUGCCCUAUGGGCGUUAAACUUCUUUUGUGCGGGAGCAAUAGUGGUCACGUGUGGCCAGACGAGAGUACCGUACGAAUAAGCAUCGGCUAACUCCGUGCCCGCAGUCGCGGUAAUACGGGGGAUGCAAGCGUUAUCCGGAUUUAUUGGGUUUAAAGGGUUCGUCGGCUGUGAGGUAAGUCAGCGGUGAAAUGCCCCCGCUCAACGGGGUGAAGCGCCAUUGAUACUGCCUGGCUGGAAUGCGGAUGCCGUGGGAGGAAUGUGUGGUGUAGCGGUGAAAUGCAUAGAUAUCACACAGAACACCGAUUGCGAAGGCAUCUCACGAAUCCGCGAUUGACGCUGAUGCACGAAAGCGUGGGUAUCAAACAGGAUUAGAUACCCCAGUAGUC